rnacentral:rRNA from 1 species
UACGGGGGGGGCAAGCGUUUGUUCGGAAUUACUGGGCGUAAAGGGCUCGUAGGCGGCCAACUAAGUCAGACGUGAAAUCCCUCGGCUUAACCGGGGGAACUGCAUCUGAUACUGGAUGGCUUGAGUUCGGGAGAGGGAUGCGGAAUUCCAGGUGUAGCGGUGAAAUGCGUAGAGAUCUGGAGGAACACCGAUGGCGAAGGCAGCCUUCUGGGCCAACACUGACGCUCAUGCACGAAAGCGUGGGGAGCAAACAGG